rnacentral:tRNA from 1 species
GCCCCCGUAGCUCAAUGGACAGAGUGACAGACUUCGAAUCUGGAGGUUCAGGGUUCGAAUCCCUGCGGGGGCGCCA